rnacentral:rRNA from 1 species
UACGUAGGGGGCAAGCGUUGUCCGGAAUCAUUGGGCGUAAAGCGCGCGCAGGCGGCCCUGUAAGUCCGUUGUGAAAGUCAAAGGCUCAACCUUUGAAAGCCGAUGGAUACUGCAGGGCUAGAGUCCGGAAGAGGCGAGUGGAAUUCCUGGUGUAGCGGUGGAAUGCGCAGAUAUCAGGAGGAACACCAAUAGCGAAGGCAGCUCGCUGGGACGGUACUGACGCUAAGGCGCGAAAGCGUGGGGAGCGAACAGG